rnacentral:tRNA from 1 species
GCCUUCGUGGUGUAAUGGUAGCACACUCGACGCGUAUUCGAGAGGUCCAGGGUUCGAGUCUCGGCGAGGGCA